GAUGAACGCUGGCGGCGUGCCUAAUACAUGCAAGUCGAACGCGCAGCGAAAGGUGCUUGCACCUUUCAAGCGAGUGGCGAACGGGUGAGUAACACGUGGAUAACAUGCCUCAAGGCUGGGGAUAACAUUUGGAAACAGAUGCUAAUACCGAAUAAAACUUAGUAUCGCAUGAUACCAAGUUAAGAGUCGCUACGGCGUCACCUAGAGAUGGAUCCGCGGUGCCUUAGUUAGUUGGUGGGGUAAAGGCUUACCAAGACGAUGAUGCAUAGCCGAGUUGGGAGACUUAUCGGCCACAUUGGGACUGAGCCACGGCGCAAACUCCUACGGGAGGCUGCAGUAGGGAAUCUUCCACAAUGGGCGCAAGCCUGAUGGGGCAACGCCGCGUGUGUGAUGAAGGCUUUCGGGUCGUAAAGCACUGUUGUAUGGGAAGAAAUGCUAAAAUAGGGAAUGAUUUUAGUUUGACGGUACCAUACCAGAAAGGGACGGCUAAAUACGUGCCAGCCGCCGCCGUAA
rnacentral:rRNA from 1 species